CCUACGGGAGGCAGCAGUGGGGAAUAUUGGGCAAUGGAGGCAACUCUGACCCAGCAACGCCGCGUGCAUGAUGAAGGUCUUCGGAUUGUUAAGUUCUGUGAUGGGGGAUGAAAACAAUGACGGUACCCCAAUAGCAAGCCAAGGCUAACUACGUGCAAGCAGCCGCGGUAAUACGUAGGUGGCAAGCGUUAUCCGGAAUGACUGGGCGUAAAGGGUGCGUAGGUGGUUUAGUAAGUUGGCGGUGUAAUUCCGAGGCUCAACCUCGGCGCUACCGCCAAAACUAUUAGGCUAGAGAGCAGGAGCGGUAAGUGGAAUGCCUAGUGUAGCGGUGGAAUGCGUAGAGAUUA
rnacentral:rRNA from 1 species